GAUGAACGCUGGCGGCGUGCUUAACACAUGCAAGUCGAACGGAAAGGCCCUGCUUUUGUGGGGUGCUCGAUUGGCGAACGCGUGAGUAACACGUGUGUAACCUGCCCUUGACUUUGGGAUAACUUCAGGAAACUGGGGCUAAUACCGGAUAGGAGCUCCUGCUGCAUGGUGGUGGUUGGAAAGUUUCGGCGGUUGGGGCUGGAAUCGCUGCUUAUCAGCUUGUUUGGGGGGUAGUGGUUUACCAAGGCUUUGACGGGUAGCCGGCCUGGGAGGGGGACCGGCGACAUUGGGACUGAGAUACGGCCCAGACUCCUACGGGAGGCAGCAGUGGGGAAUAUUGCACAAUGGGCGGAAGCCAGAUGCAGCAACGCCGCGUGCGGGAUGACGGCCUUCGGGUUGUAAACCGCUUUCGCCGGUGACGAAGCGUGAGUGACGGUAAUGGGUAAAGAAGCACCGGCUAACUACGUG
rnacentral:rRNA from 1 species